rnacentral:tRNA from 1 species
GCAGUCGUGGCCGAGUGGUUAAUGCGAUGGACUGAAAUCAAUUGGGGUCUCCCCGCGCAGGUUCGAAUCCUGUUGACUGCG